rnacentral:rRNA from 1 species
CCUACGGGUGGCUGCAGUGGGGAAUAUUGGACAAUGGGGGGAACCCUGAUCCAGCCAUGCCGCGUGUGUGAAGAAGGCCCUCGGGUUGUAAAGCACUUUCAGUGAGGAAGAACGCCUGGUGGUUAAUACCCAUCAGGAAAGACAUCACUCACAGAAGAAGCACCGGCUAACUCCGUGCCAGCAGCCGCGGUAAUACGGAGGGUGCGAGCGUUAAUCGGAAUUACUGGGCGUAAAGCGCGCGUAGGUGGCUUGAUAAGCCGGUUGUGAAAGCCCCGGGCUCAACCUGGGAACGGCAUCCGGAACUGUCAAGCUAGAGAGCAGGAGAGGAAGGUAGAAUUCCCGGUGUAGCGGUGAAAUGCGUAGAGAUCGGGAGGAAUACCAGUGGCGAAGGCGGCCUUCUGGACUGACACUGACACUGAGGUGCGAAAGCGUGGGUAGCAAACAGGAUUAGAUACCCGAGUAGUC